rnacentral:lncRNA from 1 species
UUACCAUAUUGAUUCUUUUGAUAUACAUUCUUCUUUGGUACAUCAGCAUUCAUCUUCACUUUUGUACUACAAAACAGCAGCAACUGUACCCAAGUUAACACCGUCUCUUUUCUUACUUUUACCUUCAAUAGCUUUGACUUAAUUCUGAACUUUGAACAGGUUUCCUUCUGAAACAAAUGCGAGUUGCUUCCAUUAUUGCUAUUCUGGAGAGUCUGUCAUGCUAGCAAAUAGCUUUGUAUUUACAGCAGUUAAUAAUGAUACCUAGUCUACUACAUUACAUAGUUGUCUUUUUGUAUUAAUGCAUUUUUUUUCUCUUUCUGUGCCCUUGGGCUUUCAGCACAUAAUUCAUUUACGGACAAAGCACUUGUAUGGUCCUAUUUUGUAAACUAUUCAAAACACUGUCAGUGAAAAAUGCAACAAGAGAGAGCCCUAGAGGGCCCACCUUGCAUUGCACUGAAACUUUGAAAUCAUUCAGAAACAAAAUACGCACUCUGUCUCCUGUGCUUCAGAUCUUAUUUAGAAUGACAGUAGACAGGGCACAGGGGCCAGGGAGGCAUAAAAUGCUUGCAAAACAAUUAUAUGCCACAGAGAAAUUCACAGUUGAUAACAGCAGAAGAUUGUUUAUUGCCUUGUUUACACCUCCACCUUGAGCAUUAUUCUCUGCUGUAUGGAAGACUGAACAAACCACAGCACUCAAACACAUUUGUUUCUCUGCAGAGGUUCUGUAAGGCACACGUGUUAAAGAUGGCAUUCAAAGUGCUUUUUGCUCUGCAUGCCUCUGGCUGUGCAGGAAUACACCCAUCACAUGUGUACAGCAGGUAGGAGACCCAGUUCACCACCACACCGUGACCACAGACACCAGAGCCUGCCUGACAGGACAAAGUCACAAGGAAAUGAUUCCCCCACACAUUUGCCCCAGUACAGUCUGAGAGCUGAACAAUAUUUUUCAAAUAAUAGAGAAGAACAGUUUAUCUUACCUUUAAGAGCAGACCACACAGCAUCCACCGGACAGCCCAGCAGAGCACGAUCCUUCCCUUCCCCAGCCAACAGGUGCACGCCACCAGUCCUCAGCUCCAGCUGUCCUGCAUGCACACCUGGGCUGCAGUUGCAAUCCUCUGCUCCUUCACCCUGCUUUUCCACUUUCCUGAGAUCCCAUCUUCUUGAACCUGUUUCAUGUAGAGGUCUGGAUGGCUGUUAA